GGCUCCAGGAGAUGGGGGCCGAAUGACAACCAUGGCGCUUAGUCGACCUCCUCCAUCUUGCUCUCGCCGGCGUCGUCCUCCAGCGGCGGCAUGUCGGCGUCAGCCUCAGCAGACUCGUCCUCGUCGAUGCUCAGGCCGAGCUUGAGCAUCCGGUGGAUCCUGGUGCCGAAGGUGUUGGGGUCCUCAAGGCUGAAGCCGGAGGUCAGGAGGGCAGUCUCGAAGAGCAGCAUCACCAGGUCCUUCACAGACUUGUCGUUCUUGUCAGCAUCGGCACGCUUGCGGAGCUCGUCCAUGAUGGAAUUCUCCGGGUUGAUCUCCAUGGUCUUCUUGCUCGAC
rnacentral:lncRNA from 1 species